AUCAGUUUUAGUUGGCUGACAGUUGUCCGGGCUGCUGGCGAUCCCCAGCCCGCUGUGCUGCGCCAGAGGCGAGGCUGACCUGUCCUGGACCUGGGAGACAAGAGCAGAGAAUGGCAGCGCCUGGAGCGUCGGGGGUGAGGGCUGGCCCAGCGUCCCCACCACUGGGCGAGGCGCCCACAGCAGGGUUUCUCGGGGCCUGGGCUUCGGCAUCGCGGGAUACAACAGAGGAACAUCUCUCUAUGAGUCUCUAUCCAGGGCUUUGUUGGUCGUGGUUACUGGGAUGGAAUAGCCACUAUGAGAAGAAAACCAGAGUGGCCCCAAUAACUGGAAAGCUGGAAGACGUGUCGAGGCCCAGCAGGUACACACACCUCAUUGGGCCACAGUGAAAAGAAUCACUGAGACACAGUGAACAAAGAGGUUUUGGGCUCCCUCCAUCAAAGGAAGUUGUGAACAAAUGAGUGUUUUGGGAUAUAACACCAACCUGUAGAUGCUGAAUGGCUGCCAGAAACAUUAAAACAGAUGCACGCCCAGAGUUAGCAAUAGAGAGGCCAACUGGAUCAGCAUUCCAUGGAAGGUUUGUGAUAGAUAAGUUUGUAAUAGAUAAACUGCCCAUGAUCUUUUUCUCUCAUACUCUAGCUUCUACCCAGCUCUGCCCAAUUGAUUUUCUUCUCUUGAGAUCUUAAUUAUUUUGCUUUCCAAUGUGCUGCCUUAUCCAGUGUUAGCUGUCUGCCACCUGAAGGGUUGGGCUAAGGGAGACAGAGAAGGACGCAUUCCUGUUUAUUGCACUGCUUAUGUAAGUAUCACAGACAUAAACAGAGAGUCAACGAGAACGCCUGCUGAGAUGCUGAAGUGACAAGUUUUGCCCUGGUGAGUUGUAACAUGAGCUAUGUCCUGUUAACCUGUGGCCCAAUGUCUGAUACGCUGUUGUUGCUGCUGUUCCAUCACAGCUGAUCUCAUGCCCAGAUUCCUGCAUGAAUGUGUGAAAAUCCACUAGAACCAGCCUGUUAAUACAGUCAGCCCCAGGGCUGGCGCUGCAGCUCACUGGGCUAAUCCUUUGCCUGCAGCGCUGGUACCCUGGGUCCUAGUCCCGGUUGGGGCGCCAGUUCUGUCCCAGUUGCCCCUCUUCCAGUCCAGCUCUCUGCUGCGGCCCGGGAGUGCAGUGGAGGAUGGCCCAGGUCCUUGGGCCCUGCACCCGCAUGGGAGACCAAGAGGAAGCAUCUGGCUCCUGGCUUCGGAUGGGCGCAGCACGCCGGCCGUGGUGGCCAUUUGGGGAGUGAACCAACGGAAGGAAGACUUUCUCUCUGUCUCUCUCUCUCUCACUAACUCUGCCUGUCUAUAUAUAUAUAUAUAUAUAUAUACACACACACAUAUAUAUAUAUAUAUAUAUAGUCAGCCCCAGAAAAGUCUUCUGAGCUUGAAGCAAAGUUUGGGGGUGGGGAUUUCUGGUAUCUUUAAUAGACAAGAGUAAUGUAUCCCUCUCUCCAAAUGCACUUUACAUGACACAGGGAGAUGUAUAACCAAAUGGGACUGGCAUGGCAGUGGAAUUCAUUUACCUAUCCUUUUAUGUUUCUCAGUGGAGAUCUUUAUGUGGCAAAAUGUCAGAUUACGGGCUCCGUGUAAUCACAUUUGGAACAUGAUCAUAUUAUUUCAGAGCAUUUCAUCAUUUAGAAAACACAUCUUUGCUCUAAUACCUCUUGAUACAAAUUUAAUUUGCUUUUGUGGUUAAGGGUUGCAGGAAGGAUAGUAACAUACCCUUUGUGCUGGCUGCACAACACUUCCAACAGAAACUAGCCAACGCACCCUUCACUGAUCUCCUGAACACGGAGCAGGAAAGUCCACGUUAAGGAUAUAAUGGUCUUUCCACGAAUGCCCAGCUGGACUGGGUCUGUUUCUCUCUGAGCAGGCAUGCGUGAUGAAAGCAGCAAGUCACGUGGGGAGGGCUGGGAGUCGGCAGAGCAAGGAGUGUUGUGUGCAGUUGCAUUACUUUGUUGCCUUGCCAUCAUCUCCAUAGCUUUGAUUUAUGGCAUCUUCCAUUUCAUGUGUCACGAGUUCCUUCUGGUCAGAAAGAAUAAAGAACAAAGCAGGUCUUUGUGCACCUGCCUUCAUUUCUUGUACACUUGCUUUAUCCUACUCGAUCCUAUCGUGAAAAAUGUCAGCAUCUCAAGUUCGCGAUUCCCUAUGCUUCAAUCUACCACCAUUUAUCAUAAAUAGAAUACAAGCAAAUGAGUCUUGGACAUUUAAAAGCUGAUAGAACCCAUGUAAAGAGAAAUUUUGUUAAAAAUUUAAGGAUUGUGGACUUGGUGUAAAAUUCUUCAGGCUUGAUUCUGUGCUGAUGGUAGCACUGCAUAAAUACAAGGAUGAUCAAUUGUCCAAAUUAGAUUGGCCUCUUCCCAACACAAACCAUUGUCUUAAUAAUACCUAACACACUGCACACAUUUGAUAACUUACUAGAUCAAAUAUUCUAAGUUCUGAUAGGCAUAUGAAACACCAAUAAGAACCAACUAUUAAGCUGCUGGCACUUAUAUCGAAGUGAAUCAGAACCAGGUGGAAUGCUGGCAGGCACAAAUGCUUCCUUUGAGUUGAAGGCCCCAUUUGAUGAGCUGUGACUGGUCUCUCUGCUGCAUCUCCUGAAAGUUUUGUCUCCACUCUUGUUUUCACCUGGGUAAGAGGAGUGUACUAUGAUCAACAUAGUGGCUUAUGUCUGGAAGCUAAGAAAGGCUUUCCAGAGGCAGGUGUUGUGGUGCAGAGGGUUAGGCUACCACUUGGAAUGCCUGCAUCCCAUGUUGAAAAGCCUGGAUUUGAGUCCCACCUCCACUUCUGAUCAAACUUUCUGCUGAUGCACACCCUGAGAGGCGACAGGUGAUGGCUGAAGUACUUGGCUCCCUGCCACCCACAUGGGAGGCCUGGGUGGAGUUUCUGGAUCCCGACUUUGGCUAGCCCAGUCCCAACUGUAGCAGGCAUUUUGGAAAUGAACUAGUGAUGAAUUUCUCUCUCUGGAUCUGCCUUUCUAAUAAAAAUUAAUUAAUUACUUAACUUUAAAAAAGAGAAGUCUCAGCCAGCACCGCAGCUCACUGGGCUAAUCCUCCGCCUGCGGUGCCAGCACCCCCGGUUCUAGUCCCAGUUGGGGCGCCGGAUUCUGUCCCGGUUGCUCCUCUUCCAGUCCAGCUCUCUGCUGAGGCCCGGGAGUGCAGUGGAGGAUGGACCAAGUGCUUGGGCCCUGCACCCGCAUGGGAGACCAGGAGGAAGCACCUGGCUCCUGGCUUCGGAUCGGCGCAGUGUGCUGGCCGCAACACACCGGCAGUAGCGGCCAUUUGGGGAGUGAACCAACAGAAGGAAGGAAGACCUUUCUCCAUGUUGCUCUCUCUCUCACUGUCUAACUCUGCCUGUCAAAAAAAUAAAAAAUAAAAAAGAGAAGUCUCUCCAGAUAUAAUGUGGACCUGGUAGGGUGAAUAAUGGCCUCUUUCACCCAAAUCACCCAACUCCUCAUCCCCCAAACCUGUGACUGUGUUAUCCAGGUGUGACCAAUCCAAUCAGCCGAGUCUGAAAGCAGAGAAGCUUCCAGGCCCUGAUGUGAGAGAGUUGGGUCAGAUAGAAGCAACUUGAGGAUUCCACACAGACGGAAGGAAGCCAUCAGCCAGAGAACGUGGGGUCUUUGGAAACUGGGACACUUCAGGGAUGGAGAAAUGAUGACAAAGCUGGAACCAGAAAACUCCGAGCCCCUUUCCACUGAAGAAGAUUUUGUUUGUGGCUGAGCCAGAACUGAAGUCUGUCUGCUUGAGUUCACCUAGGUUUUUUUUUUUUUUUUACCUGCACACACAAUCACAUUUUACAUGUCUAUGCCAAAAUAGCUGGUCAGGUCACCAAAAAAAUAAAACUUCCGUUGGUGGUUUGGACUGUGAGCCUGUAAUAUGCUCUACAGCGAUUUACUUUCUAUGAGUGAAGCUGACCAUCUUUUCAUUUGAUUACUGCUUAUGGUCCUUGCCUACUUCCUGCUGAACGUUUUUAUUUGUCUUUAUUAAGUGGACCAUUAGGCCUUUGAUGAUAAUGUGAAUUAAAAAUGUUAUCUCAAAAAAUAAGAAGCAAAAUAUAAAGCUGGGAAAAAAGCCUGUAAAGACAGAGAUGGUGAAUAUAAUCAAAUUACAGUCAACAGACUUAUGAAUUUUUACUGUAUUAAAAUUAUUUUUCAUCACUGUCUUUUUAAAUUCUUUUAACAAAUAUACACCUGUGUUCAGAACUCAAAAUAUUUUUCCACUGUGCAUGUUACAUAGGUGAUACAGUUAUUCCUUAUGUUGUACACUAUUCAAUUUGUGAACAGUGGGGAAACCAUAACUUUUCUAGCCUUUCCACUGAAUAUCUUGGAAUUAUUCUAAGUAAUUUGGUUUCUUUCUUAAGAGUCCUAAAUUCUGAAAGUUAGCAGGUUUCCCUCUCUAAUCAGCUGUUAAAAAGUAAAGGGCAAAUGCGUAGCCUAAUUUUCUUAGUGCCAAGGGCGCUGGGUGAAUGGAUCAUUCUCCUAUCCUUUAUCCUGACUCUAUUUUGCACUCUCACACUUGGUGCGUUGUUUUUAUAGCCAUUUCUGUGCUACACUACCUUGUUUUACUUGCUCUUCGAAACUUCCAUCUGUUUCUGUGACAAGACAAAUGCAAGUAAAUCUUCAUCGGUUUGACUCUGCUAUACAGCUGUAUUGUUAUCAUAGAUGGAGUCAGAAUUCAGGCCACAGUUUAUCUGGAAUGUAACUAGAAAGUUUUUUCUAACUUGAUUAGUUUACCCUCUUCAACCUUGGGCUGGUCUCGUUUGGAUAAGCGUAUAUCAUGGAGAGGACAGGAGGAAAUCCAAUUAUUUUGUAACUUGUUUACAUAAUUUGAUUUGCCUGAACUACAUCUGAACCUGCAUUUAAACUUGCAGAAGAUAAAUCAUAGAUUUUCUAUAGAAGUAUCGCACACAAAUAUGAAGAGAGGGUAGUGAUCAUUUGUUUUAAAAUCCCUCGUACCAGGUAAUGUGUUCGUUUGAUAGGGAAUUUCCAUGGAGUUGAAAAGCUGUUUGUAUAGCAGAUAAAUGUCUGAAAGAUCAAUGGUAAUGACUUAAACUUCAAAGACUGGUUUUCCCCUAAUAGUUUGCAUUUCUUAGCGCUGAGAAACGAAGAUGCACACUGGAUUGUAGCGAGGCUCAGAAUUGAUCUGAAGAUCCUAGCUGGUUUCUGUCCAUUGCUGAGGGCCUGAGAAUGAUCUGAUUCUGUUUGAAAGUUAAUUUCCUUUAUAAAGCCAAGUUUGUUCUUUCUGAAGAUUCUAUUCACAAGACACCUGAUCUCCAAAGGGAAAUGUUCCCUAGCUGUUCCAUGACAUCAUUCCUUGUAGCUAUUCCAUAGACUUGGAAGGAAUGGACAUGCUGGUAAGAUGCCAUGAGAUUUAAACCUUCUUGAAAACUGAAAGAAAAUACGUGUCAGGAAAUAAACCUGAUCCAAUAAAGCAGAUAAAGGCAGGCCAACAUUGCACCUGCUGGUUCACCUGGUUGGAAUGGAGAAAAUAAGAGGAUGAGACAUCACAGGACGUGUUGUGUCAGCUUGUCCUCCGCAUGUGAUUUAAUAGGUGAUGGAGCAAACAGGUAAUUAUUUCAAAAGGUAGGUAGAUUACAUCUAGGAUUAUAUUAUCCAAUAGAGGAGCUACGACCUACUUGUGGUUAUUUGAAUAUUUAAAAUGUGGCUUGCACAAAUCAAUAUGUAUUGGAAGUGUGAAAUAUAUGCUGGAUUUCCAAGGCUUAGUACGAAGAAUAUAAAGUAUCUAAAUGAUUUCUAUAUUAAUUACCUUUGGGAAUGACAUAUUUUAUAUAAACUUAAUUAAAUAAAAUAUUUUGUAUAUGUAAAAUAUUAAUACAAUAUUAAAAUGUUUCACCAGUAAAAACUCCAGGGCUUGUCAGUAGAAAGUGUUAUAGAAUACUCCAUCAUGAAAUGAGAUUUGUUUUAAUGAUAAUAUUGGUCUCUUACUGAUUUUAUUCCUGGAAAUUUACACUAAGAAAUAAUAGUAAUAGAACCUAUACACACAUCACAUUUUUUUUUUUUUUUUGACAGGCAGAGUGGACAGUGAGAGAGAGAGAGACAGAGAGAAAGGUCUUCCUUUGCCGUUGGUUCACCCUCCAAUGGCCGCCGCGGCCAGCGCGAUGCGACCGGCGCACCGUGCUGAUCCGAUGGCAGGAGCCAGGAGCCAGGUGCUUUUCCUGGUCUCCCAUGGGGUGCAGGGCCCAAGCACCUGGGCCAUCCUCCACUGCACUCCCGGGCCACAGCAGAGAGCUGGCCUGGAAGAGGGGCAACCGGGACAGAAUCCGGCGCCCCGACCGGGACUAGAACCUGGUGUGCCGGCGCCGCUAGGCGGAGGAUUAGCCUAGUGAGCCGCGGCGCCGGCCCACACAUCACAUUUAAUUACUACAAUCACAAAUAUACAUACACACACUCAGCCAAUAGGAAAUACAUAAUGUUCAACAACGGAAGAAUGAACAAGUUUCAGACAGACAACUUAAUGGAAAUUUGUAUAUGUGAAUUUUAUGAUAUGUGGAAAAAUCAUAAAUAAGAUGAUGCGUGAUAUGAUUGUGCUGUACUUGCCUCUAAAAAAUUCCCAGAAAUCAAUUUUCAAAGUCAGAUAGAUGUGCUGAGGUGACAAAAUUAUAGGUGAUUUCUUAUCUUCCAGUGUUAAACAGACGACUGAUACAUCAGGUUUUAUGUUAAGUUUUAAAGCAAUAGGAGAAAAUAAUAUAUUACAAAGAAACCACUAUGACUUCACUUAACCUUAAUUACAUCCAAAAUAUCCUGUCUCCAAAUGCAGUCACAUUAGGGGUGGGGGUUUCCCCCUAGGAAUUUGCGGCAAUGCAAGUGCGUCCACAGUGCUUUGUAGGAUGACCUGACUCAGGCUGCAUUUCCAGAAGCUUGAAAUUGAACUCCAAGUCCAUUUCAAACAAGCUAUGCACGAGAACUCCUGCACAGUCCUUUCUUUCUUUUUUUUUUUUUUUUUUAAGAUUUAUUUAUUUGUUUGAAAGGAAGAGUUAUACAGAGAGAGA